GAUGAACGCUGGCGGUAUGCUUAACACAUGCAAGUCGAACGGUCACUUCGGUGAUAGUGGCGGACGGGUGAGUAACGCGUGAGAAUCUGUCUUCAGGUCGGGGGCAACAGUUAGAAAUGACUGCUAAUACCGGAUGUGCCUUUGGGUGAAAGAUUUAUUGCCUGAAAAAGAGCUCGCGUCAGAUUAGCUAGUAGGUGGUGUAAGAGACUACCUAGGCUCCGAUCUGUAGCUGGUCUGAGAGGACGAUCAGCCACACUGGAGCUGAGACACGGUCCAGACUCCUACGGGAGGCAGCAGUGGGGAAUUUUCCGCAAUGGGCGAAAGCCUGACGGAGCAAUACCGCGUGAGGGACGAAGGCUUUUGGGUCGUAAACCUCUUUUCUCAAGGAAGAUGAUGACGGUACUUGAGGAAUAAGCAUCGGCUAACUCUGUG
rnacentral:rRNA from 1 species